rnacentral:lncRNA from 1 species
CAUUACUAAACAUGAAGAGGGAAAUAGAGCUUGGGCACCAUUAGCAGUCUCCACCUUUUCCCUUCAAUAGUAUUCCUCUAGUCAGCAUACAUCAAGUCAUCUUGCCCUUGAGGAAGACAUUUGUAACCCAACAAACUGGAUUAUAAUACCCACCCUAUACUUUUAAAUUUUGCUGACUCUUGCCACAAAGUAUUUAUUCAUCAGUAUCUUCCUGUAUACUGUAACAUCUGAUUUGCUCACAAACAUUUACAGUGGAACAUAUGCGUGAAUGGAUAAAUAACCAAUGAGCCUCUUUUCAAUUUUGCUGAAGUUUGAGACUCUUUGCUCAUUCCUAUGCUUUUUUGUCUGUUUUUCCUUUGUGCCAUUUCUUCCACUUCCACAUUCUUGCCUGUAAUGUUAACAUACCGUGCAAUAAUAUAUAUCAGAUCUCAAGUCAAUGUUAAGACCUAUACAUUAAUAUUCAUGAAAAUUAAACAUAGAAGAGUGCUAAAUAUGUAAUAUUGGUUAAAAUGAGAUAGAAAUGAAUUGAACUUGAAGUUUAAGAAAUUAUUUCACAAAAGACACAUUUAGAACAAUUGGAAAGAAGUUAGUGAGCAAUUUAGGCAGAUAUCCAGAUAUUAAUAAAUAUAUUGCUACAUUAUAUAUUACUAUAUUAAUGUCUGGAUAUAUUAAUAUAUUAAUCACUUAAUUUAUUAAUUUUCUCAUUAAGCAUUUAUUGAAUGCUUAUUACUUGCAAGUACUAGGCCUGUAUAACAGUUUUGGGAAGCUUAUUUCCUGUUUUUAUAUACAGUGAGCUCACCCUGUAAGAUUUUAUUAGAGGUUUGGGUAAAUUAGUAUAAAAUAAAUAAAAAGAUAUUCAAAACUUGGAAUGUUUUAUCUCCAACUAUAAAUAUAUGAAUUUCACAGUCUUUCUUAUUUUGAAAAGAUUCCUGUCUUUUGGCAUCAACAAUAAAUCAGAAUUUUCAGGUUGUAUCAAUUGUUUUAUAGCUUCAGAAGCAACUGCAAAGGACACCAUUGACAGGCUUUCAAAUAUGUCCCAGACCAAAACAAUAAAAAUAAAUAGAAGAAAACAAUAUAAUCUUUCUGACAUUUCCAUGAAAAUUGAAUGCUCUUCUACAAACAUAGAAGAGCAGUUUCAUUAUUGAAUGCCAAGGAUCACAUAUCCAUAAAAUACCAAGAGAUUUUGCAUGUCUUUCAAUCACACAGCUGACAGUCUUCAAGAAAAACUGCUUUUCAGUGAGAUGGGAUGUUUUAAUGAGCAAAUUAGUCUGCUCAGGAACGUGAUUCUGUGACAUUACUUAUAGAAUUAUUCUGAGAUCUACCUAUUCUUGCUGUUCAUUUAUAAUAAAUCACACUGCCUUAUGAAUAUAACACCAGUAUUUAUUUUUAAAAUGGAACUCUUAUUUAAUAGCAUUUUCCUUGUAUGACAGGCUAUCGAUUUUUGUGUUGUAGUGAUUUUAAUACUUUCGUUCUGAAAUAUUUCAUUCUGUUUAGUGAAAUGUAAUUAGCUCUAUCGUCAGUGCAAAAUGUUUGGUCUGUAGUUCAUCUUUGAUAAGAUAUCAAGAUAGGAAGCUCCUGAGUCCUAAUAAUCAUGUUUGUACAGUUUUCUAGUCCCCUCUUCAGCCUUAAACAUUACUAUACUCUUAGAAACAUGGAGGAUCGGGACCAUUGUUUAUUUUGGAACCUUAUAAUCGUAUUACUAAAGACUUGACACAUAAAUAGUAUUCAGAAAAUAAGAUUGGCUAAAUAAAAUGAUAGCAAUGAAGCUAAAAAUCAGUUCGCAAUGACCCAUAGCUCUGCGUUCUAUCACCUUUUGAUGUGCUAGAGGCUAAAAGUAGAAUUGCCCUGAUUCUUGCUCCCUGUUGAAAGCAAGAAUAUUUCAAGGAGGCAGCGACUGUAAAAACAGGUAUAAAGUUUAUUGUUAGAAAUACAAUACAACACGUGGGAGAGCACACAAAGAAGUAGUCUGUUUAUGUAAGGCAGAAGCAAAGCAGUAAUACACACCCAAAGGAGCGAGGGUGCGGGCGUCCCCCUGAAUGAGGAGUGCACCAGAGAGGUGAUGUAAAUCACUUAUAUGGGACAGUUCUGUGUCUUUGUCUUCCUUUGGCCAAUUCUCUUGUUUUAUAUUUCACACCUGACCAGCCCCAGCCCCUCCCCGAUCUGCAUGGGCAUCUUCUGGCCAAGCUGAAUUCCAAAGCAAGGCAUGGUGGGAAGGUUAUCUAGACUUACGAUUGCCUGGAGCCUCCUCCCUUUCUGACCCAGAGGGGUCUCUCUGUAUGUGUGUUAACAGGACCUCCCUAACCCCGAGGAUGGGAAGUAUGUGACCUCUUGGUCUUUUGCCCAAGCAGGGCUUAGCCCCUCUUUUGAUCCUGUCAUUACCAUUGUUUAACAAGUUCACAGAAGACAAGUACCAAUUAUUUGCCUUAUUCCUGUUAUUAUUUUUAUCUUGUAUAGAUAGGUGGCUGGUUGUAGUUUACCCUGGAGCCCACAUAUCUCCUGCCUCAGGAAGUGUAAACAAGGGGCAUAAUUGAAUAUCAGCAACAAAGCGGGUAGAGGCAGGAUCUAGAGCAUUGAGAUCUGAAUUGAAAAAGAAGGGGAUAAUUUGCAUUAGGGCAAUUGUUUUCAAUGGAGUUAUUCUUUCUGGUUCAAGUGUAUGUUUAAGAAAGUGUUUGCUAUUCAGCUGGCUUAAGGGGUCAUUGCUUCUAACUCAUUACUUGUCUCUCAUCUGCCUUGAAAAUUUUCCAGCAAAACACUGCUAGUUAUUCUUCAAGCCAUGCAGUCUCUCCUCUUUCCCCUUAUAUAUGCUGCCUUUCUUUGUCUUGUAGUAACAGACUCUUUCUCCACCUACUAUGGUCUUAAAUGAAGGUUUUAAGUCAAAGCUUUAGUGACUUCUUUUCAACAACAUUGUUACCAGUUCAGGCAGAUGUCUACACCUCAAUAAAUUAUUCUCACUGCAUGCUUACUGUCUGGGAGUAUGUUUUGGUCGCUAUAUUAGGGUGCUUCAGAGAAACAUACAGAUAUGGAUAUAGAUUCGGAUACAGAUAUAUCUACAGUUAAGUUACUGUACAUCACAAUUAUGUGAACUAAUUCCUUAACAUAAAUCACUUUUAUAACUAUAAAUGCAUAUCUGUCUAUAAAACAGAAUUGAUCACUGAUUACCUAUGUCUAUAUAAAUACACAUAAGGAGACUUAUUUUAAGGAAUUGGAUCACAUGGUUAUAGCUACGUCAACACAUAAAGAGACAUCUACAUAAAUAGAUAUAGAUAUAUUAAGAGAUUUUAAGGAACCAGAUCACCAGAUCACUUGCAGACUUGGCAAAUCCAGAAUCUAAUGGGGAGGCUGGCAGGCUGGAAACUCAGGAAAAAAUUAAGUUUAAGUCCAAAAGCAGUGUGUUGGGAUCCAGAAAGAGCUAUUGUUAUAGAUGAAACCCUAAUGUCAUCUGCUGGAUAAUUCCUUCUUGCUCUUAAGAGGUCAGCCUUUUUCACAGUCAGGCCUUCAACUGACCGGAUGAGGCCCACCCACAUUAUGAAGAGCAAUUCGCUUUACUCAGAGUCCACUGAUUUAAAUGCCUCACCCAAAAACAACCUCAAGACAACAUCCAGAGUAUUUUUUGACCAAAUAUCUGCUUACUGUGGCCCAGCCAGGUUGGCAUAUAAAAUUGACCACCAGUCACCAUUGUCUCCUCAGGCUCUAACACAAUGCUCAAUCGCUAGUCACUUCAUACCUGCUAAUUAAGAAACAAAUACAAGCUGUUAAGCUCUACCAAAGGGGGGAAAAAUCUAUUUUGAUUUCUAGAAGACAACAGUUCUGCACUGCAGGCAGACUAGCAGAAUAAGGCUAAUACAAAAGGUUUGAUUAUACAUUUUAUAAGUAAAAAAGUGAUUAAUAAGGCCAGCUUAUUUUUUUUCAGGGUAUAGGCCUUCACUUUGGAGAAUAGGAUAAGAGUUUAGCCAUUCUGGCAAGGCUGUGCUUCCUCUGAAGUGUGGUAUAAAUGCUAUAUACAUGCAUAUUGACUAUAUAGUCUUUGCUCUGUCACAAGUAAGCAUUCUAUUCGCUACCUCUUUAUAAAAUCAUUACAGUUAAAGUCUUAAAAUAUGUAUAUGUCAAAAUAGUACAUUAUUAAAUGUGUUCAAUACUGUUAAAAUCAGAGAAAAUCUGACACACAGAAUACAUCCUGACAUCAAUUACUUUUUUUAGCUUCUGAAAGAGCAAGUGAGAAUCCAUAACCUGAAAUGCACACUUUCAGAAAAAAAAGUUUUAAAAAAUAACCCAGUAACUAUUAGAUUAUAAAAUAAAGAUAUAUACAACCAGUUUCUAAAUUUGUUGUCAUAAAAAUCAACUUUUUGAUGUGGGUUAAAUUUCAAGAAACAUACUCCUUGUGCUUUUGUAAUUCUGCAUAAUUUGUGUUUUAAACCUCAUACCUCAUAAUAUACGUUUUACCUUAGUCUAAUCUUUACCUCAGUACUGUUUAAUGUUCUAACUUGUUUAGGGAUUUCUUAGAAAGUUGAUAAGAUAGAAAAAGCAGUUUCACAGUCACAUUAUAUAAAAUAAAUAUUUAUACAGCUUUAGGUCUAUGUCUUAAUAGAUUUUCUUGCCUUGGUACUUCAGAUUGUUGUAGUGUCUCAUUAACAGCUAAUUUCAUUACUUUUCUGAGGGAAAAUGUCUAUCCGUUCCCUUGACUAUCAGACUAAUUUCUAGUGCUUUACUUACGUGACCAAAAUAUAGCUUCUGGUAAGGUCAUAUUAUGUAUAAGUCUCUACACAUUUCUAAGCUCUAUUUUCUGAUCCUCAAAGGUGACCAACAUGAAAUGUGUUACAUAUGAUUCUUCCUAAAAAUCCCCAUGUAAUCACAUACUUUCAAGUUUAGAAAAAGGAAAGACAUCAUAUUUAUGGCCUCUGUUUUAAAACUCCUCCUUCAAGAGUUCCCCAAAUAGAACAUAUUUCUGCUGAAAUAUCUGUAGAAAAGGAAAAAGCACUAGUUCUCUUUUCUACUUUUCACUGCACGUUUGCCUUCAGGGGGCUACUUUGACACCUUAUUCAGAUUUACACAUCUAGGGAAAACGGGCUUGUGUGAGUGUCCACUAGGAAGAGAGUUCUACCUGAGAGUUGAAGCAGAAAGAUCCAGAAAAGCAUAUCCAUUUCAAGUCUGAGAAUGAGCAAAGACCACAAGUUAAUCUUGUGU